UCCUGUACCUGCCCCUGGCCCUGGGAAUGGCACAACCCCCACGGGUCUGCCUGGCUGGCACUGCAGAGCCCAGGGAAGGGGCAGACACAGCCACCCUCCUGCAGCUCAGGCUGGGGAGAUUUCCACUGGCGUGCUUAUCUACAGGGAAAAGCAUUUCCUUCAACGAUAGCUCUGAAUUUAUGAUCAAGUCGAGAUGUCAAGAUUGCUGAGACACCCUUUUAAGGCAGCUGUAAAUUGUUUAGACAAUAAGAAAUGACAGCUUCUGCUGGAGCUUACAGGGGGAAUACAGGCUGGAGUGCAGAUUUAUGACUUUGCAGGGCUGCUCAGAGGCACUGAUGGCCAAGUUCCUGUUGGAGAGGGACGUGGCACAAUCCAUGGAAUUCACAGCCCCUCCCUCAGGCUCACCCCUCUGCCUGCACCCACCUGCUCCCAGUGCUCUCCUUCACUGCACGAGGCUUGUGCAGCAUGAGGCACCUCUGGGCGUUGGCACAAGGCAGAAAUUCUGCCCAGAAGUAGCUCUGAUUCCUCCCUGUGGGACUGAACAGGGGCUCAGGUAAAUUCACCCAAGCUGAGCUGAAAGAAGUGGAGCAAACACAAUCACAGAAUAGUUGGGGUCGGAAGGAACCCCUGGAGAUCAUCCAAUCCAAUCCCCUGCCAAGACACAACCACAGGAACCCAGAGCAGGUGUCCAGGUGGGGUUGGAAUAUCUCUGGAAAGGGACACUCCAUGUCUUCCCAGGACACCUGCUCCGGUGCUCAGCCACACUCCAUGGAAAGAAGCUCUUCCUCAUGUUGAGAUGAAACGUUGUGGUUUUGUUUAUGGCCAUUGCUCCUCAUCCUGUCACUGGCACCACUGAAAAGAGUCUGGCACCAUCCUCUUGGCACCCUGCGGAGAUAUUUGUAUGGAUUGAUGGGAUUCCCUCUCUCCAGCAUCAGCUCAGCAUUUCUGAAAACACAACCCUGAGUGCCCUUUCUGAAAUCCAACUGGGUUGUCUGAAAGCCUCCCUGUGGAAUGUUGCUCACAGCCCAAUUUUUCAAUUUCUGCUCACACACAAAACCUGAAACUUCUGGCUUGCCUGUAACAAAACUCACUUUAUUUAGAGCCAGGCAACCAAAACAGAAUCAAGUUUAUCAACCAAAUCUCAUCAUAUGGAGAGUGAUAAAGCCUCAAUUGCAAUUGACUGAAUUUUGAAUUAAGCAAUCAACUGAUUAAUUACUUGACUUUUGUCUAAUAAAGCAAAAUGUAAAUGACACUGGCACAGGAGUUACAUUCCAUCCCUGUAGCUCCUGCUUUCCUUUGUUGCAUGAUAUGGGAAUCCACUGGAAUUACAGAUGACUGAAGAGAUGUGUGGCUUUGUCAGAAAAUGCCCAGUUAUGCCAGACUGCCAUUAGUUUUUCUUGCCAUGCAACGUGUUUCAAAAGAGGGAAGGGAUGUUUAUGUAUACAGGCAAGUAUUCUGCAUCCCUGUGCAAUAAAUAGCAAGUGCCAGGUUAUUCUGUCAGUUCUGGCAUCCUCUAUCAACAGUUAAGUAGAUACAAUCCAUUGUACCUUUCAGAUUGAUUUCACACUGAUGAAUGUGAGAUUGUCAGGUUGAUCAGUCCUCCCAAAUACAUUAAUCCACUCUGAGGUCAUCCUGAGCUCAUUUAAAAUAUUCUUUCUCUGUCCUGUGAUUCUUCUGAUAAAUGGCCAGUGGAAGACAGAGUCUCCUCUGCAGGAUGUCAGGGCCAAACGUGAAGGCUGUCAAAAAAUCAGCAUUAAAACCUGCUCAAUGUGCUGUUUUCCAAAAAUCCUUUAAAUGGCACAGUGUGUUUGCUGACAUUAAUCACGGGUGACAUUCUAGGGAGGGCUGAGUGUGCAUGUCAAGAGAAACUUCUCCAGAUCCCAAAGACAUGAAUCACCUGGAAAGCAACUGUUUUUAUCUCUAGCUGCUAAAAACCCAUCACUUCUGUGCCUUUUACUGCCUCAAAGCCCUUCAAUCCUUCACUUCCCUGCAGUGACCUGGGAGGUGAGCACCAGCAGCACAUUUCCAAGGAUCCAGGAAUUCCCACUGCCAGGAAAUGCCCCAAGAGCAGCCCCUCAGCUACAGCCAGAGGGGAAACACAUCCCAACAAUCCCAUAAGAAAAAGGAGUUCUAAUUUUAGAAAUCAGAAAAAUAAAUGGCUGCAGGCCUCUAUAAUCUCCACAUCAGCACAACAAGAUGCUUAGUCAAUAAAAUAGUUCAGCUAAGUGA